rnacentral:rRNA from 1 species
AUUGAACGCUGGCGGCAGGCCUAACACAUGCAAGUCGAGCGAGUGGCGGACGGGUGAGUAAUGUAUGGGGAUCUGCCCGUUAGAGGGGGAUAACUACUGGAAACGGUAGCUAAUACCGCCUACUCUCUGAUGAACCCAUAUGGGAUUCGCUAGUAGGUGGGGUAAAGGCUCACCUAGGCGACGAUCACUAGCUGGUCUGAGAGGAUGACCAGCCACACUGGGACUGGGACACGGCCCAGACUCCUACGGGAGGCAGCAGUGGGGAAUAUUGCACAAUGGGCGCAAGCCUGAUGCAGCCAUGCCGCGUGGAUGAAGAAGGCCUUAGGGUUGUAAAGUACUUUCAGCGGGGAGGCGUUACCCGCAGAAGAAGCACCGGCUAACUCAGUGCCAGCAGCCGCGGUAAUAC